rnacentral:rRNA from 1 species
CUCGUGUGUCGAUGAAGAGCGCAGCCAACUGUGUGAAUUAAUGUGAACUGCAUACUGCUUUGAACAUCGACAUCUUGAACGCAUAUUGCGGCCACGGGUUAGCCCGUGGCCACGCCUGUCCGAGGGUCGGCUUAUAAACUAUCACGACGCCCUACAAGUCGUGGCUUGGAUUUUGCCAGCUGGCAUGAUUUCCCUAUACUUGGCUGUAUUGCUGGGUUCGGGUGCCAGAUCUAUGGCGUUUUCCUAAUGUAUCCGGGCACAUCUGCAUCUUUGUAUUGAAAGGAUGAGGACGUGGCGACGGAGUCGUGGCUCAGUUGUAUAUAACACGCUCCGAAUCGUAGUGGUCCAAUUCCUAUGAUGUGAUGUUGUCUGUUACUGAGUGUAGCCCAUUGGGUGCAUUCUAUUCCUGACCUCGGAUCAGACGUGAGUACCCGCUGAACUUAAGCCUAUCACUAAGC